UUGGUGGAAAUAGUGUUCGGUCCCUCCUAUCAUCAUCGGGGACCUAGUGUAUCUAACACUGAGAAGUCAGACAGCGCACAAAAGUGUUUUCUAGCUAAGCAUUCGCAGAGAUCUCUAUUGAAGAGGAAUGCUGGGCUGGUCAAUUGAAAUCCAUUUGGUAUACGCCUCUUCUUAUGUCUAAUCAAUGUUGGGGUAAAGAUUACAAGAAGUGCGAGAAACGUGGUAUGAGAUACUGCGUUGGAGAUGGAAGCAGCAUUUUCAUAUACCAGUAUGAAAGAUAGCUGAUAUGCAUCGUGAUAAUUCUCAAGUCAAUGGAUCGUCUGCGAUACAACGGUGAAUUCGAUCUAAUGAUUAAGAGAUUACUAUAGCACAUAUGGUUGACUUGUAAAUAAAGCAAUGUGAACAUAAAAUACAUCUGAGUUACUGUUGCAAUUUAAUAU